rnacentral:tRNA from 1 species
GCCGAUGUAGCUCAGUUGGUAGAGCAGCUGAUUCGUAAUCAGCAGGUCGCCGGUUCAAGUCCGGCCAUCGGCU